UACGGGGGGGGCAAGCGUUGUUCGGAAUUACUGGGCGUAAAGGGCUCGUAGGCGGCCAACUAAGUCAUACGUGAAAUCCCUAGGCUCAACCUAGGAACUGCACUCGAAACUUCUUUUCUUGAGUGCCGGAGAGGAAAGCGGAAUACCUGGUGUAGAGGUGAAAUUCGUAGAUAUCAGGUGGAACACCAGUGGCGAAGGCGGCUUUCUGGACGGUAACUGACGCUGAGACGCGAAAGCGUGGGGAGCAAACAGG
rnacentral:rRNA from 1 species